rnacentral:tRNA from 1 species
GCCUGGCUGGCUCAGUCAGUAGAGCAUGCAACUCUUGAUCUCAGGGUUGUGAGUUCAAGCCCCACGUUGGACA